rnacentral:tRNA from 1 species
GUCCAGAGGAUAGCUCAGUCCGUAGAGCAUGAGACUCUUAAUCUCAGGAUUGUAGGUUCAAGCCCCACAAUGGGCA